UAUUGAAUUUAUUUCAAGGAAUCCAAUUUAUAGACUAGAGCCAAGAAAAGAAACUCUCGAAAUUGAAGGAGCUUCCAACUUUGGCAAAGAAUCCGCAUGAGGGUAGAUCCUCCGUAUUGCUUCGUGUUUCUCUAACGGGAUCACUUACCAUGUGGUAACUGGUAGCUGUAAUGCGGUUGUUCUUCCUUCAAAGUUAACCCAAAAUGUGCCAUCAGGAGCCACACAUGAGUGAGAAGUUCUCCGCCCCGUCCCAACUGCUGAGCAUGAUUGGUUCCUCUACAGUGGCUGGCAGCAUAAGCCAGCAUUUCCACCCACACAUUACUCAGCACCUCCCACCUGUUUGGUUUUGGUAUGUUUUGCAGAUCUGAUGCUAGCCUGCAUGCAUCAAAUAACACAGACUUGCUUCUGUCUCCUUUUACUUUAACUGGAGGAACUACAGUGUUCACGUUAAGUAACGCACUGCAGGCUUUAAUUUCAUAUGGAUCGAAUGUUCCCUUUUUGAAAAGAUUGAUUGCCCAAGAACUAAUAUUAUUAUACUUUUGGAUACCA